GAUAAUGAAAGUAAAAAGUUAGGAUCUCACAUAUUAUUGAAUCAAAGCACACUGAAAUAGCUAAACCUCCUGCAGUUACUUCUUUGAUUUGGAUAUGUUUUUCUUUUGGAUCAUCAUCUAAUAGACAUGAUGGGCAUCUCACUUAGGACUUGUCACUUUUUAUUUUCUUCAGUUUUAUCUGACAACUCUACACCAGCGCAUCAACACAAACUUUGACCCCCACCACAUGACAUGAGUCAGUCAAGCUACCUAGGAAUUUUAUUAAAACAGAAAAAAAAAAUAUUACCCAGGAAUUACUGAAUUAGAUGGCUUUGUACUUGGUUGCUAGAUCUUUUCAUCUAAACCUUCCCCAGUUGUCAUCUGCACCGUCCACGUCAUCACCUGACCCACUCAAAUCUCAAAUAAAUAAAUAAAUAAAUAAAUAUCCUCUGUUUUGGAUAAGAUUUAAUAACUUCACUUACUAAUUCUUUACCGGCUAUUCCAGCGACGACCACUCGCCGCUUCGCUGGCAGUGCUGUCGUUUGAUCUCUCUCUUUGACUUGUUUUGUUGUUAACCUCAUCCGCCCCUUCGUCACCCCGAAAGGCCGCUUUUUCCACGCCAUCCAUCAUGUCUCUCCACGUUGGCGGCCUGCUCCACGUCAUCAGCGCUUACGUCCACGUCACCCAACGAAAUCAAUUAAAUGCCGCGGUUUAUUCCUUUCAACGGAUGCGAAUCCCCCGCCUGCUCGUGCGAGGUUAACUUCUUUCUCCCGCAUCCUCCGCUUGCCACGUGGACGUACGGAGGCGGAUCUCCUCUUCCCCAUUCUUAGCUUCGUAAAUUAGGAUUAAUCUAAUCACGAAUUUGGUUUGGUAAUUAAUUUAAUCUUUUUUUUUUCCAUAUCCCGACGUGUCCGGAUUGUCUACG
rnacentral:lncRNA from 1 species